rnacentral:lncRNA from 1 species
AUUGAGAAGUGCAUGUACUAUAUCCAAUAAAAAAAAGCUGAUAUUACAGUUAACAGGAAAUAGAGCAUUAUACUUGUAUUCUUCGGAAACAUUGUUUUUUCAAAAAUGCAACACACACCACCCCAGUCAGAGUUUGUAAAUGCCGCAUUUACUCAUUUUUCUCUGAUAAACUAGAACAAUAAUUCUCCUAAUUAUUACGCCAGCAAUGCAAUUACAUUGUUACCA